UAUAGCACAAUGGGCGCAAGCCUGAUGCAGCCAUGCCGCGUGUAUGAAGAAGGCCUUCGGGUUGUAAAGUACUUUCAGCGGGGAGGAAGGCGAUGUGGUUAAUAACCGAAUUGAUUGACGUUACCCGCAGAAGAAGCACCGGCUAACUCCGUGCCGGCAGCCGCGGUAAUACGGAGGGUGCAAGCGUUAAUCGGAAUUACUGGGCGUAAAGCGCACGCAGGCGGUCUGUUAAGUCAGAUGUGAAAUCCCCGGGCUUAACCUGGGAACUGCAUUUGAAACUGGCAGGCUUGAGUCUCGUAGAGGGGGGUAGAAUUCCAGGUGUAGCGGUGAAAUGCGUAGAGAUCUGGAGGAAUACCGGUGGCGAAGGCGGCCCCCUGGACGAAGUCUGACGCUCAGGUGCGAGAGCGUGGGGAGCAAACAG
rnacentral:rRNA from 1 species